GAUGAAGAACGUAGCGAAAUGCGAUACGUAAUGUGAAUUGCAGAAUUCAGUGAAUCAUCGAAUCUUUGAACGCAUAUUGCGCUCUCUGGUAUUCCGGAGAGCAUGCUUGUUUGAGUAUCAGUAAACUCCUCAACUUCCAUAUCUUUUUUUGAAAUGGGAGUUGGACUUGAGUGAUCCCAACGCUUUUCCUCACCGAAAAGUGGCGGGUUACUUGAAAUGCAGGUGCAGCUGGACUUUUCUCUGAGCUAUAAGCAUAUCUAUUUAGUCUGCCUAAAAAACAGAUUAUUACCUUUGCUGCAGCUAACAUAAAGGAGAUUAGUUCUUGUGCUGACUGAUGCAGGAUUCACAAAGACAGCUUCGGCCGACUUUGUAAACUCGAUCUCAAAUCAAGUAAGACUACCCGCUGAACUUAAGCAUAUCAAUAAGCGGAGGA
rnacentral:misc_RNA from 1 species